GACGAACCGUCCAAACGUUAUUCGGAAUUAUUGGGCUUAAAGGGUGCGUAGGCGGUGCGGUAAGUCGGGUGUGAAAUCCCUCAGCUCAACUGAGGAACUGCGCUCGAUACUGCCGUGCUUGAGGAAGAUAGAGGUCAGCGGAACUGAUGGUGGAGCGGUGAAAUGCGUUGAUAUCAUCAGGAACACCAGUGGCGAAAGCGGCUGACUGGAUCUUUUCUGACGCUGAGGCACGAAAGCUAGGGGAGCGAACGGGAUUAGAUACCCCCGUAGUCC
rnacentral:rRNA from 1 species